rnacentral:rRNA from 1 species
GACGAACGCUGGCGGCGUGCCUAAUACAUGCAAGUAGAACGCUGAAGGAGGAGCUUGCUCUUCUGGAUGAGUUGCGAACGGGUGAGUAACGCGUAGGUAACCUGCCUGGUAGCGGGGGAUAACUAUUGGAAACGAUAGCUAAUACCGCAUAACAGUAGAUGUUGCAUGACAUUUACUUAAAAGGUGCAAUUGCAUCACUACCAGAUGGACCUGCGUUGUAUUAGCUAGUUGGUGGGGUAACGGCUCACCAAGGCGACGAUACAUAGCCGACCUGAGAGGGUGAUCGGCCACACUGGGACUGAGACACGGCCCAGACUCCUACGGGAGGCAGCAGUAGGGAAUCUUCGGCAAUGGACGGAAGUCUGACCGAGCAACGCCGCGUGAGUGAAGAAGGUUUUCGGAUCGUAAAGCUCUGUUGUAAGAGAAGAACGAGUGUGGGAGUGGAAAGUUCACACUGUGACGGUAUCUUACCAGAAAGGGACGGCUAACUACGUG